rnacentral:rRNA from 1 species
GACGAACGCUGGCGGCGUGCCUAAUACAUGCAAGUAGAACGCUGAAGGAGGAGCUUGCUUCUCUGGAUGAGUUGCGAACGGGUGAGUAACGCGUAGGUAACCUACCUGGUAGCGGGGGAUAACUAUUGGAAACGAUAGCUAAUACCGCAUAAGAGUAGAUGUUGCAUGACAUUUGCUUAAAAGGUGCAAUUGCAUCACUACCAGAUGGACCUGCGUUGUAUUAGCUAGUUGGUGAGGUAACGGCUCACCAAGGCAACGAUACAUAGCCGACCUGAGAGGGUGAUCGGCCACACUGGGACUGAGACACGGCCCAGACUCCUACGGGAGGCAGCAGUAGGGAAUCUUCGGCAAUGGACGGAAGUCUGACCGAGCAACGCCGCGUGAGUGAAGAAGGUUUUCGGAUCGUAAAGCUCUGUUGUAAGAGAAGAACGAGUGUGAGAGUGGAAAGUUCACACUGUGACGAUCUACCAGAAAG